GACGAACGCUGGCGGCGUGCUUAACACAUGCAAGUCGAGCGGUAAGGCCCUUUCGGGGUACGACGAGCGGCGAACGGGUGAAUAACACGUGGGUGACCUGCCCUCCAGCUCUGGGAGUAAGCCUGGGAAACCGGGUACUAAUACUGGAUAUGACUCCAUGACGCAUGUUGUGGGGUGGAAAGCCUUGUGCGGCUGAGGAUGGGCCCGCGGCCUAUCAGCUUGUUGGUGGGGUGAGGCCUACCAAGGCGACGACGGGUAGCCGGCCUGAGAGGGCGACCGGCCACACUGGGACUGAGACACGGCCCAGACUCCUACGGGAGGCAGCAGUGGGGAAUCUUGCGCAAUGGGCGAAAGCCUGACGCAGCGACG
rnacentral:rRNA from 1 species